rnacentral:rRNA from 1 species
AUACAGAGGGGGCGAGCGUUGUUCGGAAUUACUGGGCGUAAAGGGCGCGUAGGUGGCCUGCUAUGUCGAACGUGAAAUCCCUGGGCUCAACCCAGGAACUGCGUCCGAAACUGGCAGGCUCGAAUCCGGGAGAGGGAUGUGGAAUUCCAGGUGUAGCGGUGAAAUGCGUAGAUAUCUGGAGGAACACCGGUGGCGAAGGCGGCAUCCUGGACCGGUAUUGACGCUGAGGCGCGAAAGCCAGGGGAGCAAACGGGAUUAGAUACCCCGGUAGUCCUGGCCCUAAACGAUGAAUGCUUGGUGUGGCGGGUAUCGAUCCCUGCCGUGCCGAAGCUAACGCAUUAAGCAUUCCGCCUGGGGAGUACGGUCGCAAGGCUGAAACUCAAAUGAAUUGGCGGGG